UACAGAGGUCUCAAGCGUUGUUCGGAUUCAUUGGGCGUAAAGGGUGCGUAGGCGGCGCGGUAAGUCGGGUGUGAAAUCUCGGAGCUUAACUCCGAAACUGCAUUCGAUACUGCCGUGCUUGAGGACUGGAGAGGAGACUGGAAUUUACGGUGUAGCGGUGAAAUGCGUAGAUAUCGUAAGGAAGACCAGUGGCGAAGGCGGGUCUCUGGGACGGUACUGACGCUGAGGAGCGAAAGCGUGGGGAGCGAACAGG
rnacentral:rRNA from 1 species